GUGGGGAAUAUUGGACAAUGGGCGAAAGCCUGAUCCAGCAAUGCCGCGUGUGUGAAGAAGGUCUUCGGAUUGUAAAGCACUUUCGACGGGGACGAUGAUGACGGUACCCGUAGAAGAAGCCCCGGCUAACUUCGUGCCAG
rnacentral:rRNA from 1 species